AAAGGGUGCGUAGGUGGUGGUUUAAGUCUGGUUUGAAAGCAGGCGGCUCAACCGUCUGAUGUGGCUGGAAACUGAAGCACUUGAAUGGGUUGGCGGUAGCCGGAACGGGUCAUGUAGCGGUGAAAUGCAUAGAUAUGACCCAGAACACCGAUUGCGAAGGCAGGCUACUACGACCUGAUUGACACUGAGGCACGAGAGCAUGGGUAGCGAACAGGAUUAGAUACCCUGGU
rnacentral:rRNA from 1 species